rnacentral:tRNA from 1 species
GGAGGAGUAGCGAAGUGGCUAAACGCGGCGGUCUGUAAAACCGCUCUCUCUGAGUUCGGCGGUUCGAAUCCACCCUCCUCCAUUG